rnacentral:misc_RNA from 1 species
GGAACAUUAUACACAAAUCACAAGAACAACAGCACAGCUUUGUUUGCAGCUACUGACCCACCAUCCCAGAAAGAUGAGAUGAGUUGAGUUGGAAUAGUUCUGCACCUAACUCUAUCACAGACUAUUUACAACAGAACCAUAAAUUAAAUUGACCCUUGAAGACGCACAAGAGCAAACUUCAGUUACAGGGGUCCUUUUAUACCUAUACUGUUCUCUGACAAUUGGUGGCUUCAAUUAGAGAGGAUCAACCUCUCUUGUUUUCGUAUCGUUGAGUAGAUUCUUUAACUUACCCAUCUGAACAUCAUUUAUCCCCCAAAAUCACAGUAUAGAUAGUGUUGUUUUGUUUGCUUUGGCCCUCACGUCUUAGUGGAGUUCUUGCCCCUACCUCCUCCUUUGCCCUUGCUGCUACCAGUUGUGUUCUUUGAGCUGGGUGCCUUACUACAAGCACCUUGGGAAUCUACAUCAGCAAGACCAUUCUCCAGUGCUCUAACCAGAUUUUCAAAGUAGUUUCGCGUGACACUUGUUAAACCAGCGAGCUUUGUACGGAAAUCAUUGAAAUCCUUGGUCGGUCCUGCAGCAUUAAGAUAAGUUUGGAGUUCCUUUUCAGCACAUUGAUGAAGUCUUUCUAAACCAGCCUCUGCCUCACCUUGUACGUACUCAAAAAACUGCCUUUUCGCUUUCUCAUG